ACGGGGAGCAGCAGGCGCGAAACCUUCACACUGCACGACAGUGCGAUAGGGGGACUCCGAGUGCGAGGGCAUACAGUCCUCGCUUUUCUGUACCGUAGGGUGGUACAGGAACAAGGACUGGGCAAGACCGGUGCCAGCCGCCGCGGUAAUACCGGCAGUCCGAGUGAUGGCCGAUAUUAUUGGCCUAAAGCGUCCGUAGCCGGCCGGACAAGUCCGUUGGGAAAUCGACGCGCUCAACGCGUCGGCGUCCAGCGGAAACUGUCCGGCUUGGGGCCGGAAGACCUGAGGGGUACGUCUGGGGUAGGAGUGAAAUCCCGUAAUCCUGGACGGACCACCGGUGGCGAAAGCGCCUCAGGAAGACGGACCCGACGGUGAGGGACGAAAGCUAGGGUCUCGAACCGGAUUAGAUACCCGGGUAGUCCUAGCCGUAAACAAUGCUCACUAGGUGUGGCACAGGCUACGAGCCUGUGUUGUGCCCUAGGGAAGCCGAGAAGUGAGCCGCCUGGGAAGUACGUC
rnacentral:rRNA from 1 species